rnacentral:rRNA from 1 species
ACUCCUACGGGAGGCAGCAGUAGGGAAUAUUGGGCAAUGCCCGCAAGGGUGACCCAGCCAUGCCGCGUGGAGGAAGACAGCCCACUGGGUUGUAAACUCCUUUUAUCAGGGAAGAAAGGUCACGAUUUAUCGUGAUUUGACGGUACCUGAGGAAUAAGCACCGGCUAACUCCGUGCCAGCAGCCGCGGUAAUACGGAGGGUGCAAGCGUUAUCCGGAAUCACUGGGUUUAAAGGGUGCGUAGGCUGGCAUAUAAGUCAGUGGUGAAAUCCCCGGGCUUAACUCGGGAACUGCCAUUGAAACUGUAUGUCUUGAGUUCAGAUGAGGUGGGCGGAAUGUGUCAAGUAGCGGUGAAAUGCAUAGAUAUGCCACAGAACACCGAUUGCGAAGGCAGCUCACUAAACUGAUACAGACGCUGAGGCACGAAAGCGUGGGUAGCGAACAGGAUUAGAAACCCCUGUAGUCC